GCGGGAGGCUCUGGUGCUGGGGAUAAGAUGUGGCCCUUAGCACCACAGUCUCUGCGCCUUU
rnacentral:pre_miRNA from 1 species